GGCUCAUCGGAGGUGAUUUUUGGUUUUUCCUACGGCGGCGGCGCCGAACUUUACCUGCAGUUUUCGACUUAUUCGCUGUUCCUUUUGCUCCGAUUUGGCCAUGAGAGUGUUCAAAAUUAAAUUUCAAGCGAAUAUGAGAAUUUUUACCUUUUUUGGCAGUCGGAAGUGGCUCCAACGUGGCAGUUGGCGACUGUCGGCUCCCUUCUCGGUGAGUGGUUUUUCUUCUCCGGCAGGAGGCUGGCGGCUAGAGUUUCGUUUGAUGUGAAGUGAGAUAUUUAAACUUGUCUCUCUUAAAUCUGAAGUGUUCACCACGUUUGAUCUCGACCGUCCGAUUGCAUUUAAGGAGAAAAUGAAUUUAGACUGUUUAUCGCGAUUUGAUCUCGACCGUACGAUCACAUUUAAAGAGGAAACAAAUCUGGACUGUUCAUCGCAUUUAAUCGCGACCAUCCGAUCAUGCAUGAGGAGGGAACGGAUCUGGACCGUCCACGCGCGCGAAAACGCAU
rnacentral:lncRNA from 1 species